rnacentral:rRNA from 1 species
GAUGAACGCUGGCGGCGUGCCUAAUACAUGCAAGUCGAGCGAACAGACGAGGAGCUUGCUCCUCUGACGUUAUCGGCGGACGGGUGAGUAACACGUGGAUAACCUACCUAUAAGACUGGGAUAACUUCGGGAAACCGGAGCUAAUACCGGAUAAUAUAUUGAACCGCAUGGUUCAAUAGUGAAAGACGGUUUUGCUGUCACUUAUAGAUGGAUCCGCGCCGCAUUAGCUAGUUGGUAAGGUAACGGCUUACCAAGGCAACGAUGCGUAGCCGACCUGAGAGGGUGAUCGGCCACACUGGAACUGAGACACGGUCCAGACUCCUACGGGAGGCAGCAGUAGGGAAUCUUCCGCAAUGGGCGAAAGCCUGACGGAGCAACGCCGCGUGAGUGAUGAAGGUCUUCGGAUCGUAAAACUCUGUUAUCAGGGAAGAACAAAUGUGUAAGUAACUAUGCACGUCUUGACGGUACCUAAUCAGAAAGCCACGGCUAACUACGUG